AUGAAGCCGACAGGCUCUCCCCCUCCCCGGCCCCCUCCCCGGAAAAGUUGGCCGCUCGACGGGGCGGGGAGGGGGAGGGGGCCGGGCGACGUAUAUUCCAGGGGGUCGGGGCGGCUGCGAGGCACCGCGAAGCGUGCUGCGAGGGUGCGACUCCUCGCCGCUGGACCCUUUGCUGCCGCUGGACCCUUUGCUGCCGCUGGACCCUUGGCUGCCGCUGGACCUUCGCUGCCGCUGGACCUUGGCUGCCGCUGGCCGGCCGGAGCUGGCUGCUCGCUCCUGCUCCGCUGCGGUGGUCGCCGCGGGUGUCGGGGGCAGCCGCAGCUGCUGCAGCUGCUGCACCUUCUGCAGCUUCUGCAGCUGCCGCUCGUCCUCCUCCUCGUUCCCCUCUCUCUCCCUCUUAAAUGGGGCCGAGCCCUUCUCGGUGCUCCCGGGCCCGCGCAGCUGUCCCGGGGCUGCCUCUCCUCCUCCUCCUCCUCCUCCUCCUCCUUCCCCCCCACCCCCACCCCGCCCCGGUGGUCUCGGCGGAGAGCGGGCUCCGGAUUCGGAUCCUGCGGCUCCCGGCGGCGAGAACGGCAGGGCCGGCUGCAGCGGGGGAGACGGCGGCGGCGGCGGCGGCGGCGGCGGCGGCGACGGCGGCGGUCUCGCACGUUGGCACCAGUUUGUCUGCGUUGCACGAUCCAAGCCUUUAAAUUUCCUGCACUUUCAGCUCCAUCACCAUGGAAACCACCGACUCUCUCUCUCUCCCCCCUCCUCGCUCCCCCCUCCCCCUUCUCCCCCCCCCCACCAAACACCACCACCCCUCCCUCUCCCCCUCCCCCCCACCCACCCACCCUGACUCUCCACCCCCCAAGCCACAGCUUUUUGCACAUUCCCCGCAAACUGCAAUCGCCGAAGGAGGCCUCGGCCUCGAAGCCCCCCGCGGGUGGGAGAUGCCCCGACCGGGUGGCAGAUGCCCGGGCCGGGUGGCAGAUGCCCCGGAACUCAGAAGAGGUGGCUGCGACGGCGCUUGGCAGGGCAGCGAGGAAAAGUGAAUCUGAGGCCAGAAGCCCCCACCCCGACCUCAUCCAUCCCUCCAUCUGCACCUGCAAAGUCCCACAGUCUCCUCUCCUUGACUCGCGGCUGUGACAGUUCUCACCCGGGACACUGGGAGACCCGGGGCGGACGCCCCACCGUCUAGGCCACCCCAGGUCGAAAGAGGAGAGUGAGCACCCCAAAGUUAAAAUAAAUGUUUGAUUCACACUAUUUGGUUUUGUGCCCGGGUGAUGGGGAGAGGGGCUGAAGGAGCCUCAUGUAAGAAGCGAGGCGCAGGAACGAUUUUUCUUACUCCAAGAGUACUUGCUUUCGCCCUUGGCGUUCUCUUAGAAUAGUGCAUUGCACCUAGCAGGCACUUGGUAAAUAUUUUUCUCCUCCUCUUCCUACCACACUCCUGCUGUAACCAGUAGAGGUAGGAGACCAUUUCUAUCUCCGGGGAAGCAACACUGGAAGAGAUAGAAGACCAUCAAGUCAACAGGGGCUUCUUAAUGUAGGGGGCAGAAACGCAAUCUCACUUGGCCUUAAAGGAAGUUGGAAGUUCCCAGUAUUAAUGCAGCCCAGUUCAUUGUUUUUUGUCUCCUGAUCCACUGUGAAAUCCCACGUCCCACCUUAUUCAGAACUGACCCUUAAAGCCACGUCGGACUGCCAGACUCACCUUGUCUCGGGGCUGUGCUCUGGGAUUGAAGGUGGUGCUGUUGAUGGAGAAAGCCUAUCUCUGGGAGGAGGGAGGGUCGAGUGGCCGAAAAGACCAGUCGGUCACCAAUCAAUAACUGCAUCCAGGCCCUGCAUGUGGGUGAAAAGAGUGCUUUGUCACUGCUCCAUCGGAUCCUGACCCUAAUACUGCUAUCGAUAGUAUGCUAGUAUUCCUGUUUCUAUUGCUGCUGCGAUACUCGCCGAAGCUAUUAUUACUAUUUUCAUUACUAUCGUUACGAUUACCACUCAAUCACACACACAAGUAUAUAUAGAUUUAGUCGGCGGCGGCAUUCCAAGAAGACACCCCUGAUGGUGAAUUCACCUAUGAUCUCUCGUGUGUGGCUGAGAGGGCCGUAUUAGAGGAAAUACGUACUUCCAUUCCCACUCCUGACACGGUUCCUACUGCCAGUAUCACUGCUAUUCCUUCAGCUACCCUGACCACUCCUGCCAUUACUGAGGAGGAGGGGGGCUCAGUGGAAAGACCCCGGGCUUGGCAGUCAGAGGUCCUGGGUUCUAAUCCCCGGCUCUGCCGCUUGUCAGCUGUGUGACACGGGGCAAGUCGCUUCACUUCUCUGGGCCUCAGUUCCCUCGUCUGUAAAAUGGGGUUGGAGACUGGGAGCCCCACAUGGGACAACCUCCUUACCUUGUAAAAUAAAAAAAUAAAUGGUGGUAUUUAUUAAGCGCUUACUAUGUGCAAAGCACCGUUCUAAGCGCUGGGGGGGUGCGAGGCAAUGAAGUAGCCCCACGUGGGGCUCACGGUUUUUAAUCCCCAUUUUGCAGAAGAGGUAACUGAGGCACAGAGAAGUGAAGUGACUUGCCCAAAGUCACACAGCUGGCAAAUGGUGGAGCCAGGGUUCGAACCCAUGACCUCUGACUCCCAAGCCCGGGCCCUUUCCACUGAGCCACGCUGCUUCUCUUGUAUCUACCCCACCGCUUAGAACAGUGCUUGGCACAUUGUAAGCGCUUAACAAAUACUGUCAUUUUAUUAUUACUUCUCCUGUAAUUAUUACUACAGUCAUCCGACUCCUGCCACUAUCACUUCUUAGUAUAACUACCAUUACUAAUUAGGGGGUAUAUUAAGUGCUUACUUUGAGCGAAGCACUGGGGUAGAUGCAAGAUAAUCAGGUCAGAUACAGUCCCUGCCCCACACUAUCUGAGCGGGAGGGAAGCGUCUGUGUCAGGAGGCCCAACUUUCAUUCGUUCUUUCGGUCGAGUUUAUUCAGAGCUUACUUUGUGCAGAGCACUGUGCUAAGCGCUUGGGAGAGCACAAUACAAUAAACAGGGACAUUCCCCGCCAACAACAAACAUGCAGUCUAAAUCUCUCCUGAGCCAUCGUUUCAGGCCAGGGGUAGUUAUCCGUGGCAGCCAAGAAUACUAGUGGUAUUAUUUAAGUGUUUACUCUAUGUCAAGUACCAUACUAAGCACUGGGACAUAUGCAGGAUAAUCAGGUUGGGCAUAGAUUCUGUCGCCCAUGGGGCUCCCAGUCUGAGGAGGAGGGAGAACAAGUUCUGAAUCCCCAUUUUACAGACGAAGAAACUGAGGCACAGAGCCGGUAAGUGAUUUGACAAGUCACACAACCGGAAAGUGGCAGAAUUGAAACCCAGAACCCCUGACCCCCCGCGAGCUCAUGCUCUUUCCACGAGGCCACGUGGCUUCUUGUAGUGUGCCCAAAACCAUUUGAGGCUGUGCUUCCCUUCGGCCUGAAGAUAGCCGUUCUUUUUCUUGCACACAUCUGUUCUCCUGGGCAUAUGUUUUAGUAUCCGGCUAUCGUUCACUCGCUUUCUGUAAACGCAUCCAUUCGCUAGAGUGCCCAGUCCUUGCUACAACCUCCCAAAUGCCUGAUUUAGUCCUCUGCACACAGUAAGUGCUUCAUGCAGACCACUGACAGAUUUUAUCUCCCGGCCCUGUUGCUCGAACACCGCAGUUGAUGCCGCCAUUUAGGAUUUAAUUGUUAGCCCUCAUGAUUUGCCAUUCGGUUUCAAAUCUGGUCCGUGGUGGUCACGGAUGAAAUUGCUCAGGAGCAGUUCCGACUGAUCCCUGUGCCUCCUUGUACGUCUGCUUCCAGAGCCCAGUCUGUGUCAGCAUCCGGCGGAUUCUGGACGGCCUCCUCGGGCAUCGGUCGAGCCACCGUCGGUUGCCUCCGAAGCUGGUGAGACGGAAGAGUGAGUCCGAAAGGAGUUCUGACCCAGCUUCCAGGCCUUUGGUUGUCUUCAAACACGGGCCCGUUGCUCAGCCCCGCUGUCCUCCAGGGGUGAUGAGGACCCUUUCCCGUAUCUCUGCCCCUUCCCGUUCUGAGGACUUCCGGACGGAGGGUUGGGUAAGAGUUUUCUUUUUCAAAAACGUGGACCGGUUGGUGUGUGAAAUAGGGAGCUGGGGUCUCCAGCUAGUGCAGGGGAGAGGGAAGUCUUACUUCUCCCAUCGACUGUCUUCAUUUCUCCCUCUGCCCACUCCCAACCCACCCCUCUAAACCUACUAAUGAUUCUUGGCUGUUCCACCAAGGUGCAGAGGGGGGCUGCAACUGGUGGCCUUCAAGGGGGGAGAGAGAGGAGGAGAGAGGGAGGGAGAGAGAGAAAGAAAGAGGGAUGAGGGAGAGAGAGAGAGGGAAAGAAAGAGGAAGAGGGAGAGAGAGAGGGAAAGAGGAAGAGGGAGAGAGAACAUACUCUUAGAUGGGCAGCAGGGGAGAGAGAAGGGUGACAUGUAUAAGGAUGAGGACGGGUAAGGAUGACUGUGUGUGUGUGUGUUUGCGGCAGUGUGGGGGUUGAUGUGGUGGAGUUGGGCUGAUUCAGGUCGAAGCUGGUGGGAACAGUGCUCACUUCCAGUGAGGGGGGGGAAGGAGAAGGGGAACCAGCAUAAAAGGCCUAGGUGGAUGGCAGGAGGUUCAUCGUAAGUCACUUAGGAGGUGGGCAACAUAAACGAUGUAAAGUAAGACCACCUUGAUUACUAGAAUAAUAAUAAUAAUACUAAUAAUGUUGGUAUUUGUUAAGCGCUCACUAUGUGCCGAGCACUGUUCUAAGCGCUGGGGUAGACACAGGGGAAUCAGGUUGUCCCACGUGGGGCUCACAGUCUUAAUCCCCAUUUUACAGAUGAGGGAACUGAGGCACCGAGAAGUGAAAUCACACCAAAAAGGCCACUCUCAUUACUAUCAUUCAACAAGGGGUGUAGGGAGUGUUGGAGGUGUUGAAAGGUAGGACUUUUUCAGGAAGACAAAAGUGGUAACCUCUCAAUUCCCCAGACCUCUCAAUUCCCCAGACCUCCAUUUAACUAUCAAAACUCAGCCUCCCCGGUCUCCCCACUACCCUCUUUGUCUUCCUUUUCCCUUCGUCCUUUCCUCUCCUGCUCCCCCGGGAGAUGGGGCAAGUGCAGCAGGUGGUUGGGAGGAAAGGGGGAACGGGGAGGGAGGGACGGAGGGAUGGAUGGAGGGAAGGAUGCAGAAAGGGAUGGAAGGGAAAAGGGAGGUAUGGAAGGAGAGUUGAAAUGGAGAGAAGUAGGGAGGGAAAGGCAAAAGUAGGGGGGAGGGGGAAGAUGGGACACAUACAGACCCCCCGACCUGUCUUGCAAACCCCAGUCGGGGCAGUUUGGAUGGAGAAAGGCAACCGACAGCUAGCUGUGCCUGUCCCAGUUCCGACCCAGCAGGGCUCCUGCCCCUCCCGAGGCCUGGCUCUGACCCCCCCUCCCCCAGCCGCC
rnacentral:lncRNA from 1 species